GAGAAAUGGUCUGCAAUAAAUUGAAUAAAAUUCAAUAAGGACAAAUGCAAAGUGCUACACUUAGGAAGGGAUAAUCGAUUGCACAAAUACAAAGGUCUGUGGAGCCAGAAGGAGCACUGCAGAAA